CCUACGGGUGGCUGCAGUGGGGAAUAUUGGGCAAUGGGCGCAAGCCUGACCCAGCAACGCCGCGUGAAGGAAGAAGGCUUUCUGGUUGUAAACUUCUUUUCUCAGGGACGAAGAAAGUGACGGUACCUGAGGACUAAGCCACGGCUAACCACGUGCCAGCAGCCGCGUUAAUACGGAGGUGGCAAGCGUUCUCCGGAUUUAUUGGGUUUAAAGGGUGCGCAGGCGGAUUUUUAAGUCAGCGGUCAAAUCGUGGUGCUCAACCCCAUCCAGCCGUUGACACUGGGGAUCUAGAGUGUGCGAGAGGUAUGCGGAAUGCGUGGUGUAGCGGUGAAAUGCAUAGAUAUCACGCAGAACCCCGAUUGCGAAGGCAGCAUACCGGGGCACAACUGACGCUCAGGCACGAAAGCGUGGGUAUCGAACAGGAUUAGAUACCCGUGUAGUC
rnacentral:rRNA from 1 species